GCGAGUGUAGUUCAAUGGUAGAACGCGACCUUGCCAUGGUCGACACGUGGGUUCGAUUCCCAUCAUUCGCU
rnacentral:tRNA from 1 species